CAUAACCCAAAUAAUUUAAUCCAGCCCUAUUUCUAUUUUUGAACAAAAUGCUGGAAAUUGGAAAUAUCUUAGUUUAUUUUUAGUUCUAGCUUAUUUACGGCUAGAUUGAAAAUCUGAAUUUUCUAAUAUUGGUUCAUGAUUAUCAUCAGGGACUUGAUUCGGUUCUUAAACAGAAUCAAUGGCUCUCUGAAAAUAUGAUACUCCAUUGGUCACCCCAAGAGGAAUACAACAAAAUUGGUAAAGGCAUCCACUUUCCUCAAAAGCUGUAAAUGGUUUGUCAUCACGCCCAGAUGGAUGACAUCACUAGUAUGUUGUAUACAGUAGAACCUCGAAAAUCCGAACUAAUUGGGGGGACAGCCUGUUCGGAUUCUGAAAAGUUCGGAUUAUCUGAAAGUCAGCCUAACUAGUAAUUCAAAGCUCUCCUGCAAAACGUGUAACCUGACUAUGAGAAAACCGAAGUAAAUUUAUGUUUAACCUUUAUAAGAGAUGUUCAGCAGACAUCAAGAAAUCAUUACUUUUCUAUUCACCCAUUAUUACCCAAAUGUAUACCUCAUUUUAACUACAAUUAUAACAAAGUACAUUCCUCAUUAAUAACCCGGCUAAAACUUACCCAUGGACUUUUUCCAGAGCAUCUACAUAGGAUUGGAAUCUAUGAAACUCCCUUCUGUUCCUGUAACCAUGAGUCCAUCGGGGAUCUGAACAUGUAUUCUUUGAUUGUCUUAAUCAUAGGGAUCAGACUCAAAACUUAUAUUUAGGUUUAAUUAACCUUAACAUUAGCCUUCCAGUUAGCAUCAGCAAUCUUUUAUCUUAUUCUGACAAAUCUAUAUUUAAUAUCUUAAUCAAGUUUAUAAAUGAUUCUAAGAUAAAAAUUUAAACAUAUCUAUAACAAAAUUCUGUGGCAAAAAGACUCUUUGUCUAAUGCCAUCUCUUUGACAGACACACACACACACACACACACACACACACACACACACACACACACACACACACACACACACACACACACACACACACACACACACACACACACACACCACACACACCACACACA